UGGGGAAUAUUGCACAAUGGGCGAAAGCCUGAUGCAGCAACGCCGCGUGAGUGAUGAAGGUCUUCGGAUUGUAAAGCUCUGUCUUUUGGGACGAUAAUGACGGUACCAAAGGAGGAAGCCACGGCUAACUACGUGCCAGCAGCCGCGGUAAUACGUAGGUGGCGAGCGUUGUCCGGAUUUACUGGGCGUAAAGGGUGCGUAGGCGGAUGUUUAAGUGAGAUGUGAAAUACCCGGGCUUAACUUGGGUGCUGCAUUUCAAACUGGAUAUCUAGAGUGCAGGAGAGGAGAAUGGAAUUCCUAGUGUAGCGGUGAAAUGCGUAGAGAUUAGGAAGAACACCAGUGGCGAAGGCGAUUCUCUGGACUGUAACUGACGCUGAGGCACGAAAGCGUGGGUAGCAAACAGGAUUAGAUACCCUGGUAGUCCACGCCGUAAACGAUGAGUACUAGGUGUAGGAGG
rnacentral:rRNA from 1 species